UACGUAGGGGGCUAGCGUUGUCCGGAAUCAUUGGGCGUAAAGAGCGUGUAGGCGGUCCGGUAAGUCCGCUGUGAAAGUCGGGGGCUCAACCCUCGAAUGCCGGUGGAUACUGUCGGGCUAGAGUCCGGAAGAGGCGAGUGGAAUUCCUGGUGUAGCGGUGGAAUGCGCAGAUAUCAGGAGGAACACCGAUGGCGAAGGCAGCUCGCUGGGACGGUACUGACGCUGAGGCGCGAAAGCGUGGGGAGCGAACAGG
rnacentral:rRNA from 1 species